GUCUUCUCCCCCAUACCCCUUACUCUUUUUCUUUCGAGCUAUGGCAGCAGCUUAUUCUUGGAAAGGAAAUUCUCUAUUGGGGUCUUGUGUGGCUUAUGGUGAUAUAUUGCUCAAAUUGAAACCUUGUUAAGCUCUUGCUUAUGAGAUUAUGCUACUGAAUUCAUAUGGAGGGGGGGUUAUCACGCGGCUAUCUCUAAUUUGCAUAGCUCUAAGCUCUUGAGCUUCAACUUAGUGUUACAUGGUUGUUAUUGUUUUAUCCUUGCUGCGAGGAUCCUAUGAAAACUCUAAGUUCUUGUUUCUAGCUAUUCGUUGUUCUACAUGAUGCGAUGGAGAUGGGUGUUGAGGUUGUUUACCUCACUUGUUGAACUUGUAUCGGUGGUGGCUGUCCUUGCCGUCACCACUCGCUGCCCUCUCCCUCCUCCCUCGCUGCUCUUCGCGUUUGGUGUUGCAGAAUUUGUGGUGAUGGAAUGUGGUGGUGGAGGAGGUGAGGAGAGGUUGCUUAUAUGGUGCUAAGCUAUUGAAAGCUAGGCUUGAGACUUGGAGUCAAAGACUCCUAUUUUGGGCUUGUUAGCUCUCUUACUUUCGAGCUUGAUGAUUGUGAGAUUCUUGCCGUUUUGGUGAUUGUGGCUGAUUCUCUUGGCUGAUUUCUCGGCCUCGAUCGACGGGGUGAUGAGAGUUUGUCUCAUCCUCUAUUUUUGGGCUUGUGUAGGAGCUCGCUCUCCAAUGCCCCUUUGUCUCGACUCCCUUUUGAUGUUAGAGGAGAUGGUAUCAUAGCUGGAAAUUUGGAGCCUUAUGGGCUGAAAAUCGAGAAGGAGAUUGAGGGGGAAAGAAAGAAGAUGCUCCUCUAGAGAUCCUUUGGCUCCAUCACCAAAAUAGCUAGCUUCCAACUUGCUCACUAGUGUAGGAUAAUGGUGUAGAGAAGAUGUGUGUGUGUCACCCUCACAUAUGUAACAUGUGCUAGAUGUAUCUCCAACAUUCUUGUGUAAUUUGCUCCUCAAUUAUUUAUCUAAUAAAAGCAUAACUUUACUUUUA